GACGAACGCUGGCGGCGUGCUUAACACAUGCAAGUCGAACGGAAAGGCCCUGCUUUUGUGGGGUGCUCGAGUGGCGAACGGGUGAUUAACACGUGAGUAACCUGCCCUUGACUUUGGGAUAACUUCAGGAAACUGGGGCUAAUACCGGAUAGGAGCUCCUGCUGCAUGGUGGGGGUUGGAAAGUUUCGGCGGUUGGGGUUGGACUCGCGGCUUAUCAGCUUGUUGGUGGGGUAGUGGCUUACCAAGGCUUUGACGGGUAGCCGGCCUGAGUGGGUGACCGGCCACAUUGGGACUGAGAUACGGCCCAGACGCCUACGGGAGGCAGCAGUGGGGAAUAUUGCACAAUGGGGGGAAGCCUGAUGCAGCAACGCCGCGGGCGGGAUGACGGCCUUCGGGUUGUAAACCGCUUUCGCCUGUGACGAAGCGUGAGUGACGGUAAUGGGUAAAGAAGCACCGGCUAACUACGUG
rnacentral:rRNA from 1 species